AUUGAACGCUGGCGGCAUGCCUAACACAUGCAAGUCGAACGCGAAAGUCCUUCGGGAUGAGUAAAGUGGCGCACGGGUGAGUAAUACAUGGGAACAUGCCCUUGGAUGGGGAAUAACGUUUGGAAACGAACGCUAAUACCGCAUAAUCUCGCGAGAGUAAAGGUGGCGCCGCAAGGGCUACCGUCCAAGGAUUGGCCCAUGUCCCAUUAGCUAGUUGGCGGGGUAAUGGCCCACCAAGGCAACGAUGGGUAACUGGUCUGAGAGGAUGAUCAGGCACACUGGAACUGAGACACGGUCCAGACUCCUACGGGAGGCAGCAGUAGGGAAUAUUGCACAAUGGGGGAAACCCUGAUGCAGCAACGCCGCGUGAGUGAAGAAGGCCCUUGGGUUGUAAAGCUCUUUAGCGUGGGAAGAAGGUAGAUAUGGUGAAUAAUCAUGUUUGCUGACGGUACCACGAGAAUAGGCACCGGCUAAUUUCGUGCCAGCCGCCGCAGUAA
rnacentral:rRNA from 1 species